rnacentral:rRNA from 1 species
UUAAGCAUAUUAAUAAGCGGAGGAAAAGAAACCAACAGGGAUUCCAUUCAGUAACGGCGAGUGAAGAUGGAAGUAGCCCAGCGCUGAAUCGUAUUGCCUGCAAGGGUGACACGACAUGUAGCGUGAAGCUGGCGGCUGUUGCUGUUGUCGAUUGCGUGUAAGUCUCCCUGAGCGGGGCUCAGUCCCAGAGAUGGUGCUAGGCCCGUAUCGCGCGUGACAAGUACAGCAACGCCCGCUUGCGGAGAGUCGGAUUGCUUGGGAACGCAAUCUAAAGCCGGUGGUACACUCCAUCGAAGGCUAAAUAUGACAACGAGUCCGAUAGCGAACAAGUACCGUGAGGGAAAAUUGAAAAGCACUUUGAAGAGAGAGCGAAAUAGUGCGUGAAACCGCUCAGAGGCAAGCAGAUGGGCCCUCGAAGGUGUGCAUAGGAUUUAUUUCCUAGUUCGCACGCCACCGCCGUUGCCGAUUUUACGCCACGCGUCGACGUUUGGACGCCUGAGAUUGGGACUUGUGCCUGCUCGGGACGCUCGGCGUUGAACGUGUUGAGUGUUGCGGUAAGCGGUAACGGAGCAGGGCAUUGUUCGUCGCUAUUAUAGCGCCGGCUGUGGCCGCUUGCCGGCACAUGUUGUUGCAACGAGACGCAAGUUUCGGUGUGCGGCAUGUGCUGCAACUCGACCAUUAGCCCCGGCCUGACGACAUUAAGACCCGGUGGCGAGUAGACGGUCCCCCAUCUAACCCGUCUUGAAACACGGACCAAGGA